UAGAAUUCCACGUGUAGCGGUGAAAUGCGUAGAGAUGUGGAGGAAUACCGGUGGCGAAGGCGGCCUUCUGGACAGAUACUGACGCUGAGAUGCGAAAGCGUGGGGAGCAAACAGGAUUAGAUACCCUGGUAGUCCACGCUGUAAACGAUGUCGAUUUGGAGUUUGUUGCCUAGAGUGAUGGGCUCCGAAGCUAACGCGAUAAAUCGACCGCCUGGGGAGUACGGCCGCAAGGUUAAAACUCAAAUGAAUUGACGGGGGCCCGCACAAGCGGUGGAGCAUGUGGUUUAAUUCGAUGCAACGCGAAGAACCUUACCUGGUCUUGACAUCCACAGAAUCUUGCAGAGAUGCGAGGAGUGCCUUCGGGAACUGUGAGACAGGUGCUGCAUGGCUGUCGUCAGCUCGUGUUGUGAAAUGUUGGGUUAAGUCCCGCAACGAGCGCAACCCUUAUCCUUUGUUGCCAGCGAUUCGGUCGGGAACUCAAAGGAGACUGCCGUUGAUAAAGCGGAGGAAGGUGGGGACGACGUCAAGACAUCAUGGCCCUUACGACCAGGGCUACACACGUGCUACAAUGGCGUAUACAAAGGGAGGCGACCUCGCGAGAGCAAGCGGACCUCAUAAAGUACGUCUAAGUCCGGAUUGGAGUCUGCAACUCGACUCCAUGAAGUCGGAAUCGCUAGUAAUCGUGAAUCAGAAUGU
rnacentral:rRNA from 1 species